AGAUUGAACGCUGGCGGCAUGCCUUACACAUGCAAGUCGAACGGCAGCACGGGUGCUUGCACCUGGUGGCGAGUGGCGAACGGGUGAGUAAUAUAUCGGAACGUACCCUAGAGUGGGGGAUAACGCAGCGAAAGUUGCGCUAAUACCGCAUACGAUCUACGGAUGAAAGUGGGGAUCGCAAGACCUCAUGCUCAUGGAGCGGCCGAUAUCUGUAUUAGCUUAGUUGGUGGGGUAAAAGCCUACCAAGGCAUCGAUCAGUAGCUGGUCUGAGAGGACGACCAGCCACACUGGAACUGAGACACGGUCAGACUCCUACGGGAGCAGUCGAGUGGGAAUUUUGGACAAGUCGGGCGACAAGCC
rnacentral:rRNA from 1 species